CUGCACUCGGUGCCACCCGCACCAGCCGCCAGGUUCCCGGCCCUGCUUUUGUGACGUCAGAUACCCCCACCACCCCAGCUCAGGGAGCCGCCACCACUCUCCCAUCACAAAAGGCAAAGUCAUGGAAUAAACGGAUGAAGGCAGGAAAAAGGUCCCUGUCAUGCAGACCAGGCUCACAUCAACUCAGAGUUGAUCGCCAUCACUCGGUCGUCCAGCGGGAGCCUCAACACUCUCGCUACGACCUGAGCGUUUCUGCAAGGGGCUUGGUCUUACCCGUCGACCUGGGCGAGGCCUCGGAACGUGCCCUCCCCUCCAGGACAUUGCCUCUGGCCCUGGAACCUGCCUUCCUCGGUGCUGAAGUGCUUCACUGUCCCAUCGGCACAGCCCACCAGGAUCUGCGGGCAGAGGAGCACAGGAUGGCGAGGAGAGCGAGGCGGCCGCGCCCCAGACUCCCAGCUCUGUCAGCGGUCGCUCACCUGUGUCUCGCCGCCCGCACCCCAACACAGGGCGCUCACCGCCUCUUCGCGCCGCGGCUGUCCUGACGCUGUGAAGUUCGCCGCCUGUUUGCGCUGAAGGUUCACUCCUGCGGGACACGGACGUCAAUCGCAUGAGUCGCGAAACGGUGACGCCCGCAGUUCCCGACGCCCGACUCCGCUACCCACCUUUCAGGAUGCCAGUGUCGGUGCCAACCCACACAUGGUUCCAGCGUGCAGCCGCAGCCGCCAUAGCGGAGCUCGGGAACCUAAGGCUCACACUUCCGGCGCAGCGCCUGCGUCACCAGCGUGAGCCUAGUGGGAUACGGAGGAACUCCAUUUAAAGAACCGGAAGAGUAAAAAUACUCUCCCCGCCAGCUAAUUUUGCUUUUUACAAAAAUGAAAUCUGGAGACUUGUUUGGGGAGAUCUGAACAGUAAGUAACUUGACCAUUUUACAUUUGAAGUAAAAGGCAUACGAUCUGAACCACAAUAUCGGAUCCAGGCAGCCCUAGUCUGUUUCUCUGCUCUAAAGCAAUGUACGUUUUCUGUGCAAGAGAAGAAAAGAGCUUAUUUCAGGAAAGAUUCAAAUCAUUAAUGAGGCGCAUGGCUUCAACUUCAAGCGUAAUAGGACAAAAUGAACAAAGUUGGGGGAAAUGAAACCGACGAGCUCGGUUUUGGAAAGCGAAGGUAGAGGCGUUUUUAUUUCCUCACGUUGAGAUUUGCUGAUGGUAUAAAAUGGCACCAUGCGCAAUGAAUGAAGAUCUACAAAAUUAAAAGAAACAGUUCUUCCAAAGACAAGCUCCAAC